rnacentral:tRNA from 1 species
GAGAGGUGUUUAGAACACUAAGAACUGCUAAUUCUUACCCCUGAAGUUAAAAUCCU